CCUACGGGUGGCAGCAGUAGGGAAUCUUCCACAAUGGGCGAAAGCCUGAUGGAGCAACGCCGCGUGGGUGAAGAAGGUCUUCGGAUCGUAAAACCCUGUUGUUAGAGAAGAAAGUGCGUGAGAGUAACUGUUCACGUUUCGACGGUAUCUAACCAGAAAGCCACGGCUAACUACGUGCCAGCAGCCGCGGUAAUCCGUAGGUGGCAAGCGUUAUCCGGAUUUAUUGGGCGUAAAGGGAACGCAGGCGGUCUUUUAAGUCUGAUGGGAAAGCCUUCGGCUUAACCGGAGUAGUGCAUUGGAAACUGGGAGACUUGAGGGCAGAAGAGGAGAGUGGAACUCCAUGGGUAGCGGUGAAAUGCGUAGAUAUAUGGAAGAACACCAGUGGCGAAAGCGGCUCUCUGGUCUGUAACUGACGCUGAGGUUCGAAAGCGUGGGUAGCAAACAGGAUUAGAUACCCCGAUAGUC
rnacentral:rRNA from 1 species